rnacentral:rRNA from 1 species
UACGUAGGGUGCGAGCGUUGUCCGGAAUUAUUGGGCGUAAAGGGCUCGUAGGCGGUUUGUCGCGUCGGCCGUGAAAACCUGCAGCUUAACUGUGGGCCUGCAGUGGGUACGGGCAGGCUAGAGUGCGGUAGGGGAGACUGGAAUUCCUGGUGUAGCGGUGAAAUGCGCAGAGUAUCAGGAGGAACACCGGUGGCGAAGGCGGGUCUCUGGGCCGAUACUGACGCUGAGGAGCGAAAGCGUGGGGAGCGAACAGG